UACGUAGGGUCCGAGCGUUGUCCGGAGUUACUGGGCGUAAAGCGCGCGCAGGCGGCUGACUAAGUCUGACGUGAAAGCCCCCGGCUCAACCGGGGAGGGUCGUUGGAGACUGGUUGGCUUGAGGGCGGUAGAGGCAGGCGGAAUUCCGGGUGGAGUGGUGAAAUGCGUAGAGAUCCGGAGGAACACCAGAGGCGAAGGCGGCCUGCUGGGCUGCACCUGACGCUGAGCCGCGAAAGCCAGGGGAGCGAACGGG
rnacentral:rRNA from 1 species